rnacentral:rRNA from 1 species
UCCUGGCUCAGGAUGAACGCUGGCGGUAUGCCUAACACAUGCAAGUCGUACGAGAGUUUUUAACUCUAGUGGCGGACGGGUGAGUAACACGUGAGAAUUUGCCUUUAGGAGGGGGAUAACAAUUGGAAACGAAUGCUAAUACCCCCAUAUGCUUUUGAGUGAAAUGGAUUUUAUCCGCCUAGAGAGAAGCUCGCGGCUGAUUAGCUUGUUGGUAAGGUAAGAGCUUACCAAGGCGACGAUCGGUAGCUGGUCUGAGAGGAUGAUCAGCCACACUGGAACUGAGACACGGUCCAGACUCCUACGGGAGGCAGCAGUGGGGAAUAUUGGACAAUGGGCGCAAGCCUGAUCCAGCAAUUCCGCGUGGGUGAAGAAGGUCUUCGGAUUGUAAAGCCCUUUCGUUGGGGACGAUGAUGACGGUACCCAAAGAAGAAGCCCCGGCUAACUUCGUG